AGAGUUUGAUCAUGGCUCAGAAUGAACGUUGGCGGCGUGGAUCAGGCAUGCAAGUCGAACGAAUGCCAUCUGGGCAACUGGGUGGCGGAAGUGGCGAAAGGGGCAGUAAGGCGUGGAUAACCUGCCCCGGACUUCAGGAUAGCCCCUCUAACGAGGGGGUAAUACUGGAUGCCGUAGGGGGGGAGCAUUCUCUUGCUACGAAAGCCGCAAGGCGGUCCGGGAGGGGUUCACGUGGUAUUAGCUUGUUGGUGAGGUAACGGCUCACCAAGGCCAAGAUGCCUAGCAGGUGUGAGAGCACGACCUGCGCCACUGGCACUGGGACACUGGCCAGACUCCUACGGGAGGCUGCAGUCGAGGAUCUUCGGCAAUGGGCGAAAGCCUGACCGAGCGACGCCGCGUGUGCGAUGAAGGCCUUCGGGUUGUAAAGCACUGUCGUAGGGGAGAAAGGGCGCAAGCCUUGAUCGACCCUAGGAGGAAGCUCGGGCUAAGUUCGUGCCAGCAGCCGCGGUAAGACGAACCGAGCGAACGUUAUUCGGAAUCACUUGGGCUUAAAGGGCGCGUAGGCGGGCGAUCAAGUCAGGGGUGAAAGCCCCCAGCUCAACUGGGGAAGUGCCUCUGAUACUGGUCGUCUCGAGCGAGGUAGGGGCGUGCGGAACUUCCGGUGGAGCGGUGAAAUGCGUAGAUAUCGGAAGGAACAUCGGUGGCGAAAGCGGCGCGCUGGACCUCUUCUGACGCUGAGGCGCGAAAGCCAGGGGAGCGAACGGGAUUAGAUACCCCGGUAGUCCUGGCCCUAAACGUUGGGCACUAGGUUGUGGGCUUACGUGGGCUCACAGCCGGAGCAAAAGUAUUAAGUGCCCCGCCUGGGGAGUAUGGUCGCAAGGCUGAAACUUAAAGGAAUUGACGG
rnacentral:rRNA from 1 species